GACGAACGCUGGCGGCGUGCCUAAUACAUGCAAGUAGAACGCAGUUGCGAACGGGUGAGUAACGCGUAGGUAACUGCCUCAUAGCGGGGGAUAACUAUUGGGAAAGAUAGCUAAUCCCCCCUACUUUUAGAUGGACCUGCGUGGUAUUAGCUAGUUGGUGGGGUAAAGGCUCACCAAGGCGACGAUACAUAGCCGACCUGAGAGGAGGACCGGCCACACUGGGACUGAGACACGGCCCAGACUCCUACGGGAGGCAGCAGUGGGGAAUCUUCGGCAAUGGACGGAAGCCUGAUCGAGCAACGCCGCGUGAGUGAAGAAGGUUUUCGGAUCGUAAAACUCUGUUGUAAGAGAAGCGGUAUCUACCCAGAAAGCCACGGCUAACUACGUGCCAGCCGCCGCGGUAAUUC
rnacentral:rRNA from 1 species